rnacentral:pre_miRNA from 1 species
CAAGUACUCCCUUCGUCCGGAAUUACUUGUCAUCAAAAUGGAUGUGUCUAGAACUAAAAUACAUCUAGAUACAUACAUUUCAAUGACAAGUAUUUUCGGACGGAGGGAGUACAAG